GAUGAAGAACGCAUUGAAAUGCGAUAAGUAAUGCGAAUUGCAGAAUUCCAGUGAGUCAUCGAAUCUUUGAACGCACAUUGCGCCCUUUGGUAUUCCGAAGGGCAUGCCUGUUCGAGCGUCAUUAUCACCCCUCAAGCCCUCGGCUUGGUGUUGGACGGUUUGGUGGAGGCCCCCUCGGGGGCUCCUGCCCCUCCCAAAGACAAUGACGGCGGCCUCGUUGGACCCCCGGUACACUGAGUUCUUCACGGGACACGUAUCGGACACAUGGGUUUACGGGACACGGUCUGCCUCCCCUCAGGGAGAAUCUUUCUAAGGUUGACCUCGGAUCAGGUAGGGAUACCCGCUGAACUUAAGCAUAUCAAUAAGCGGAGGA
rnacentral:misc_RNA from 1 species